GACGAACGCUGGCGGCGUGCCUAAUACAUGCAAGUCGAGCGAAUUUCAUUGAGAGCUUGCUUUCAAUGGAGUUAGCGGCGGACGGGUGAGUAACACGUAGGUAACCUGCCUGCAAGACCGGGAUAACAUUCGGAAACGAAUGCUAAUACCGGAUACGCAAUUCUCUCGCAUGAGGGGAUUGGGAAAGGCGGAGCAAUCUGCCGCUUGUAGAUGGACCUGCGGCGCAGUAGCUAGUUGGUGGGGUAGCGGCUCACCAAGGCGACGAUGCGUAGCCGACCUGAUAGGGUGAUCGGCCGCACUGGGACUGAGACACGGCCCAGACUCCUACGGGAGGCAGCAGUAGGGAAACUUCCGCAAUGGACGAAAGUCUGACGGAGCAACGCCGCGUGAGUGAUGAAGGUUUUCGGAUCGUAAAGCUCUGUUGCCAGGGAAGAACAGCCUGGAGAGUAACUGCUCCAGGUGUGACGGUACCUGAGAAGAAAGCCCCGGCUAACUACGUGCCAGCCGCCGCAGUAACAC
rnacentral:rRNA from 1 species